AUUAAUUUUUUUCGGCAUUAUUUGCACCAAACCCUAUCUAUCCCUUUGAUCCAUCGCCUGUGUCCCCUCCGCCACUCCAUCGCGCGCGGAGGCCAAGCGCCUCCGGCGCCGCCGCCGCUUCCUCCCGGCGGUGCUGCCUCCAGGCGCCACCGACGCUUCCUCCCCACGGCGCUGCCCCAGGUGCCGCCUCUUCCUCCCCACGCUGCGCCGCCCUUCUUCGUGCCACCGCCGCCGCCUCUCCGCUUCGCAGCGCCGGCGCCGACUCCACCUCAAUACGCCAUCACCAGUCGCCCUAGCCCC
rnacentral:lncRNA from 1 species